AUAAGGGAGCUACCAUUUGAUUUUUAUGGGGGGGCUAGGAUGAAAAAUUUUGUCCUGCAUUUUUUUUAAUUAUAAUCUCUGUCCUGCCUUUUUAUUUUUCACUCUAUUCGGUCCUGCCUUUUUUUUUUUAGUUUAUCCUGACUUUUUUUUACCUAAAUUGUCAUCCUGACUUUUUUUUUGCAAGUGUCUCAUCCUGCCUUUUUUUUUACUCAAAAUUCCUGUCCUGCCUAUUUUUUUCAAAUUUCAUCCUAGCCCCCCCCCAUAAAAAUCAAAUGGUAGCUCCCUAAAUGAAAA
rnacentral:lncRNA from 1 species